UAAUGAGAUUUGGUGUGAUCACGUUGUUAUGUUUUUUUUUUUUUUUUGUUGUUGUUGUGAUGCUCUUGCAGGUGACAUAUAUGGGGACAUUGUUGCUUGGGCUAUGAUGGGCAGAAGCUACUUACUGAUAUUAAUAUGUUAGGAACCUAUUGGAUCAAGGAUGCUGAUAAGGAGUCUUUGAUUGGAAACUAAAAGGCGGUGCAUAUGGUCUGAAGAGAGACAUGUAAAAGCAGGUUCAAUUACUAAGGCUCCAGAGAAUUCUGGUUCAUAUGAUUCUCCCAAACCAAAAGGCAACAGAUUAUCACUUACAAGUAAAGAGCUGAAUAUGGGCCAAAGCAGAGAACUCUGUUUAUUACAAGUUAGAACUUUCUUUUGGAGAUUUUAGAUGGAUUAUCUUCCCACCUAAUGAGAUAUGUACAUUUUCCUUUAUGAAGCACAAGUGAAACUGUUUGAACAUUUCCUUGGCUCGCUAAUUCUUGAUGUUUUUGCAUGUGCAGCUCACUUUUAUGAUGCAUGUCUCCAUUAGUUACAAUCUGGUCAAAACGUGAUCAGAGAGAGGACCCUCAUGAAAAUGAAACCAAGCAUACCCAAAGGCUGUGGAAGCAGAUAUCAGAGAGGUGAACGGGAGGGUAAUCACCAUCAAGAUGAUUUAUUAAAGAACCAUCGAACUAAUUUUAAUGACAACAGGUGUGUUGUAGCUAAUUGUGAAUCCAGGUUGGUUCAUUUGUUUAGAGGGUGGUUCCCAUACAAGUUGCCAAACCCAGAGAGCAGAAUAAAACAGAAGAGCAGGGCAUUGCGAUCACACGAAUAGAAGGCAUUCACCUCUAGUUGAUAGAAAAUUAGUAAUUUGUAUCAUCUGUUUCAUUUCCUCAUUUGCAGAUGACAGUCAAUUAGUUGUGCAACAUGAUUUUACUUGGGGUUUGGCAUAAAAAAAAAAAGUCUUGGGAUUGUGUAAAAGAGCACCCCCACCCCCCAAUUUCCUCUCCAUGUACACUAUUUUCUAGGUUCUGUGUAAUCAAAUCUUGAUUUUCAUCA